UUGGGAUAGCUCAGUCAGUAGAGCAUUGGAUUCUUAAUCUCAAGGUCGUGGGUUCGAGCCCCAUGUUGGGUGAAAAA